rnacentral:snRNA from 1 species
AAACCUUGUCUGUGUCUCUUGGACCAUGAAGUAAAAACAUUAUCUAAGUUAUAUCUGUUCUUAUCAGUUUAAUAUCUGAUAUGUCCUUAAUUUGAGGACUGUACAUUACAUUGAUUUUUGAAACGGGGAUGGAAUAGGAGCUUGCUCUGUCCACCCCAUGCAUUAAAAAAAAAAAUCACACUAA